rnacentral:rRNA from 1 species
UAGGGAAUCUUCCGCAAUGGGCGAAAGCCUGACGGAGCAACGCCGCGUGAGUGAUGAAGGUCUUCGGAUCGUAAAACUCUGUUAGUAGGGAAGAACAAAUGUGUAAGUAACUAUGCACGUCUUGACGGUACCUAAUCAGAAAGCCACGGCUAACUACGUGCCAGCAGCCGCGGUAAUACGUAGGUGGCAAGCGUUAUCCGGAAUUAUUGGGCGUAAAGCGCGCGUAGGCGGGUUUUUAAGUCUGAUGUGAAAGCCCACGGCUCAACCGUGGAGGGUCAUUGGAAACUGGAAAACUUGAGUGCAGAAGAGGAAAGUGGAAUUCCAUGUGUAGAGGUGAAAUGCGCAGAGAUAUGGAGGAACACCAGUGGCGAAGGCGACUUUCUGGUCUGUAACUGACGCUGAUGUGCGAAAGCGUGGGGAUCAAACAGG